CAGUCGCCACGGUAAUACGGAGGGGGCUAGCGUUGUUCGGAAUUACUGGGCGUAAAGCGCACGUAGGCGGCUUGGUAAGUUAGAGGUGAAAGCCUGGAGCUCAACUCCAGAAUUGCCUUUAAGACUGCCGAGCUAGCAGGUGAGAGAGGUAAGUGGAAUUCCGAGUGUAGAGGUGAAAUUCGUAGAUAUUCGGAAGAACACCAGUGGCGAAGGCGGCUUACUGGCUCAUACUGGACGCUGAGGUGCGAAAGCGUGGGGAGCAAACAGGAUUAGAUACCCCCGUAGUCCCUGUCUCUUAUAA
rnacentral:rRNA from 1 species